rnacentral:rRNA from 1 species
UACGAAGGUCCCGACCGUUAUCCGGAUUUAUUGGGUUUAAAGGGUGCGUAGGCGGGUUAUUAAGUCAGUGGUGAAAGCCUUCAGCUUAACUGAAGAAUUGCCAUUGAUACUGAUGAUCUUGAGUACGAUUGAGGUAGGCGGAAUGUGUCAUGUAGCGGUGAAAUGCUUAGAUAUGACACAGAACACCGAUUGCGAAGGCAGCUUACUAAGUCGUAACUGACGCUGAUGCACGAAAGCGUGGGGAGCAAACAGG